rnacentral:tRNA from 1 species
GCCUGGGUGGCUCAGUCGGUUAAGCAUCCGACUUCGGCUCAGGUCAUGAUCUCCCGAUUCGUGGGUUCGAGUCCCGCGUCGGGCU